rnacentral:rRNA from 1 species
GACAGAGGGUGCAAACGUUGUUCGGAAUCACUGGGCGUAAAGCGCGUGUAGGUGGCUUGGCAAGUCGGGCGUGAAAUCCCGGGGCUCAACCCCGGAAGUGCACUCGAUACUGCCUCGCUAGAGUCCUGGAGAGGAAGGUGGAAUACUUGGUGUAGAGGUGAAAUUCGUAGAUAUCAAGUAGAACACCGGUGGCGAAGGCGGCCUUCUGGACAGUGACUGACGCUGAGACGCGAAAGCGUGGGGAGCAAAC